GACCCGGUGGUGAAAGGCAUCAUACCUGCAAUCUAUAUGCCGUCUGAAACUAGCACUGUAAGCAGGAGGUCCCGGUUCGAAACCGGGCUGGGUCA